rnacentral:rRNA from 1 species
ACCAGACUCCUACGGGAGGCAGCAGUGGGGGAUAUUGGACAAUGGGGGAAACCCUGAUCCAGCGACGCCGCGUGAGUGAAGAAGUAUUUCGGUAUGUAAAGCUCUGUCAGCAGGGAAGAAAGAAAUGACGGUACCUGACUAAGAAGCCCCGGCUAACUACGAGCCAGCAGCCGCGGUAAUACGUAGGGGGCAAGCGUUAUCCGGAUUUACUGGGUGUAAAGGGAGCGUAGACGGUGCAGCAAGUCUGAUGUGAAAGGUCGGGGCCCAACCCCGGGACUGCGUUGGAAACUGUGGAACUGGAGUGCAGGGGAGGUAAGCGGAGUUCCUGGGGUGGCGGUGAAAUGCGUAGAUAUUAGGAGGAACACCAGUGGCGAGGGCG